ACUUAAUAAACCUAAAACAAUCCUCUCGUUUCCACCGUCGCCCCUGCUCCUUCAAGUUUCGAUCCCUUUCUUCCCCUCUUUCAGUCGGUCAUUGUUACUCUUUGCGCCUCUGUUUCACUGUUACUCUCCAUUACAAAAACUGCAGCAGAACACAGAUACAGAGCUUAUAAAAAUGGCGACUAUUAGCCUUAUCUCUCCGAGAAUGUCUGCCAGGGAUCCUCGUGUUUUAUCCUCAUCGAAGAACCUGAGCGAUGUUUCUCUUUUGGAUUCCACAAUUACUCGAACCAGAUUUUUCUCUCAAUUUGAAAAGCGAGUUUUUUUUUUUUUAGAUCCAUGGUGGUUACGAAGCAGAAUCCUGAGAAAGGGUCACGCGCUUCUGCAAAUGAUCCUUUGAUUGCUACUGCUUUGAGUUUACUUUCUUAUUUGCUUUUACUUUGUUUGCUUGCUGAGAAAUUGUGAGAGAAGAAAAUUAAGAGAAAAACGAGGAUUUUUAGAUUUUGAUUAGUUGAGAGUAGUUAAAGCAAUAUGAGGAAAUCAGCUUCAAUUGUUUCUUUUAGUAAUAUUGUUGUUGGUGCUACUAGUAUGUAUUUAUUUAUUUAUUUUUACCUCUUCCAUGAGCAUGAAUCGCACUAUUUCGUUAAUUGAAAGACUGGAAAUCAGCUCAAGUCUUGCAAUUUCUUACUUCAAUUAAGCUUUCAUUUCAUUAUAAAGCGAAGGUGUCUGUGGUUCUAUAAACAUUGACUUGAUUUUUGUUUGCAUCCAUAACUAUUUUCUUUAUUAGCGCUAAACGCUAUUGAAGAUGUCUCAUCAAAAUUAUUUUUGCACGAAACAUGUUAAGAGUGCUGUGUUUUUAACAAGUAUGGGAUUUUUGAUUUAUUUAUUUAUUUUUUUUAUGCCUCAAAUUGAUGAUCUCUAGUUCAGUUGUCACCAUCUUUGUACCUCAAUACCUAGGUUUCUUUCCUUUUAUUGCCCCUCUUGUUUCUUAAGUUCAUUUGUUACUAUUUCUUUUUUUCGGUUGUGUUAAAUGGUUAUUCCCGUUUGGUAAUGAUCCGCUUCUUCUUGUAGAUUCUAAUACUUGGUUAUAUAAGUUUCUUUUUCUUUUUCUUUUUCUUUUUGCUCAAGAUUUUAUUUUUCUACUUGUUUUGAUUUUCCAAUUUACUAUGGCUGUCCAAGACCAGAUUAAUUAAAUUGUUUGGUUUUCCAUUUUGACCUAAUCUGGUUUUGAAGAUAUUUUGUUAUAUAAUUUUUUUGUGUAUAUUUAUAUCUUCCUGAAGUAGAAUAUUGCAAAGUAUUGGUGGGAAUUUUGAUUUUCUACAAAUUGUAGGAUUUAAUUUGAACUAUAAGAUAUAGCCUAUCAAAUCCAUCGUUGAGAUCAUUUUGGAGUGUUUAAAUGGCUGUGAAAACUAUGUAUUUCAAAGAACAUGAAGGAAUUGUCCAUAAUCCAAUUGGGCAGCUGUCGUCGGUGCCAUCAAUGCCUUUGGUGGAAUACUUUUGGAUCUCAAUCUUCUUAUGGUGAAUCCUGUGCUCUAUUCAAGACUUCUUUAAUAGAAUGGCCACCAAUCUGUGAAGACCAACUCACUGCCAUGAAGCAAGCCAGGCUGGGCAUCGUGCAAGGGCUAGAUAAAGGGAAUAUGACUCAAUCCGCUAUCUUCCCUAAUUUCAAUUUUGAGUUAAAUUGAUUUGAUUUUGGACCAAUUGGCCAUUAGCCAGACGAACAGUUCAAAAUCAAGAGAGAUUGACAGCGUAAGCUAAUGUUGAAGGAGAGAUACUGACACCGUGAGUGGAUACUGGAGGAGUAUAUGCAGCAAAUGAUGUAAAAUAUAAUAGCAUAAAUGAUGUAGGGUAGAUAGCUUACAGCUCUAGCUCCAGAUGCGAUUCAUUAGAAUGAUGGUAGAAAGGCUGAUAAUGAUGAUGAGUGAUAUUAUUGAUGAUAAUUAAUUUAUUUUUUUGUUAUUAUGAUAUUUUAUUAUUUCAUACAAUACAUUAUUACUGUUAUAUUUAUAAAUAAUAUUGAUUGAUA